rnacentral:lncRNA from 1 species
CCAAGACCAGGCCACAACAACAAGCCUUUAUUAGGGGAAUAGAUCUGCCGGGGCUGUCUCUGAACAAAGGAGAGACAAAAGCAAUAUGGCCGGGGCAGGGAAGAGUCCUUUAUAGAGACUGGGGUGGGGUUUGUAGGGGCUGAGGCGGGGUUGAGUGAGGUAGUGACUAGGGAAUGGAGGAGCCGGUGAUGUCACUAGGAGGUAGGAGGUGAGCGAGUAUUAGGUUACUCUCUAGGCGGGAACAGGGGCAUGCUGGGAAGAAGGGUUUAUUCUUUGAUGGGAGCAGCCAUCUUGGCAUGACGUCACAGAGGGGAGGGGGCAAGGCACGACGGGAAGAGGGCAACUGCUGUACAUAAUAGCUGCUGAGGUGGUGGGAGACCUAUCACCUUCCCCACAUGGAGACUUUCACUGCAGUCCUGCCUGGCUGGGGAGCUGCAAGUCAGAUUGAGAGAUGAUCACCAGUUAAUGCAAAAAAUCGCUAAAUGGCACUUCAUGCUCCUCAGGUUUCUGGGUGGAGGAGAAAGGAGUCUUUAGUCUUCAGAAUUGACUGGAGCCGGCCAGGCAGGGCAGCCAGCAAGCCAGCAGAGCUGGGAACCUCGACUGCCUCGAUUUCUCUGCCAGUCCAUGGUAAAGAGACAAAACACCUAGAGAGGUUUACAAACACUCAAAGGAAGAAAAAGCAAGCAAGCAUCAUGAGGACGUUUUGUCCAGCCAGCAUUUUUACUAGCAAUAAAUCUGCUUU